rnacentral:rRNA from 1 species
GGGUGAACGCUGGCGGCGUGCCUAAGACAUGCAAGUCGUGCGGGCCGCGGGGUUUUACUCCGUGGUCAGCGGCGGACGGGUGAGUAACGCGUGGGUGACCUACCCGGAAGAGGGGGACNACCCGGGGAAACUCGGGCUAAUCCCCCAUGUGGACCCGCCCCUUGGGGUGUGUCCAAAGGGCUUUGCCCGCUUCCGGAUGGGCCCGCGUCCCAUCAGCUAGUNGGUGGGGU